UUGAAGAGUUUGAUCCUGGCUCAGCGCGAACGCUGGCGGCAUGGCUAAAACAUGCAAGUCGAGCGCGAAAGUUCCUUCGGGAGCGAGUAGAGCGGCGAAAGGGCGAGUAAUGCGUUUCUACGUACCCCGAGGUCAGGGAUAGCCCAGGGAAACCUGGAUUAAUACCUGAUGUGGUGCUUCGGCAUCAAAGGCUUGCCGCCUCGGGAGCGGGGAACGUCCUAUCAGGUUGUUGGUGGGGUAAUGGCCUACC
rnacentral:rRNA from 1 species